rnacentral:lncRNA from 13 species
GUUUUAUAGCUGAAACGAGCGCAAUAUUAUUUGUUUCGCUUCUUCACAAAGUCUUACUCCUGUACAAUAGGCGGCGGUAAAGCGCAUCCAGGAGGAGUAAACAGCGAAGAAACCACCUCAACCAACCAGAGUCCUGGAAUCAGAAACACUUCCUGUUUCUAGACAGCCCUUUGAAAAACAAACCAAAAUUACUUGCGUUUUAAUGGCNNNNNNNNNNNNNNNNNNNNNNNNNNNNNNNNNNNNNNNNNNNNNNNNNNNNNNNCGUCACAACAGCGUGUGGGUCUAUUAUUAAUUCUGGUGUUAUUGCAUCCUUUUCUUUCUCUCCUAUAGGAAAUUGAGGAGUUCACCUUUGUGACCCAGCUUGCUGGCCUCACCGACCACAUUCCAGUGGGCCUGAGGCUCAAUGUGUUCCUGGACUCAGACACUGCCCAGUCCGAAUGAGUGACAACCCAAGCCUGAAUCCAUUUGGGGAGAAGGGAAAGAUAUGUACUUCAUUCCAAAUGGCACACUAUUCCCUAUAUAGUGCACUACUUUUGACCAAAGUCCUAUUGGUGCCAUUUGGGAUGCAGGCAUCUACUAUGCACCACACACACCACACGGGUACAACAAUUACAAAGUAAACAGACCAAUGAAAAAUGCCAAGGGGUUAUGUUGGGGGUGAGCUGGCCUGUAUCCUCAGUCAGAGAGAUGGAACGGGCAUCCCAAAUGGCACCCUAUUCCCUAUCUAGAGAUGGUAAGGCAUCCCAAAUGACUCCCUAUAUAGUGCACUACAUUUGUCAGAGCCCUAUGGGGAAUACGGUACAGUUUUGGACAAUACCAUUGUCUGGUGGCUGCUGGAUUAAAACCGAUAUUGAUUUGCUGGUGCUGCAUACAGAGACCAAAUCUAAGCUGAAUAAUGACAUGACUCAUAUGUGUAAUAUGUGGGCCUUUUCAGGUCAGGGGUAACUCACUUUUAUACAGUCAAUCUUACUUUUGGUAAGUUGUUGGUACUGAAAAUAUUUUAUAUUUUUUCACUCUGAUUUCACGAUGAUGCCUGUGGAAAAUAAACGAUCUCACUGAAAUGCACCAAAUGUUUGAGUCUCUUACUGAUUACAAGGGUGGUAAAAACAUAUUUGAAGAAUAUUUGCGGUGUGGAUGGGGAGGUGAAACAGAUUAAACCAAAAACAGUAACACAGUUUGAUAAAUAUGGAUGCAUUCUGAAACCUUUACAAGAAGUUGAUUGUAUGGCUUUAGAGAGCGAUUUAAAUAUGUUUUAUAGCUGAAACGAGCGCAAUAUUAUUUGUUUCGCUUCUUCACAAAGUCUUACUCCUGUACAAUAGGCGGCGGUAAAGCGCAUCCAGGAGGAGUAAACAGCGAAGAAACCACCUCAACCAACCAGAGUCCUGGAAUCAGAAACACUUCCUGUUUCUAGACAGCCCUUUGAAAAACAAACCAAAAUUACUUGCGUUUUAAUGGC